rnacentral:rRNA from 1 species
GAUGAACGCUGGCGGCGUGCCUAAUACAUGCAAGUCGAGCGAACGGACGAGAAGCUUGUUUCUCUGAUGUUAGCGGCGGACGGGUGAGUAACACGUGGAUAACCUACUUAUAAGACUGGGAUAACUUCGGGAAACCGGAGCUAAUACCGGAUAAUAUUUUGAACCGCAUGGUUCAAAAGUGAAAGACGGUCUUGCUGUCUCUUAUAGAUGGAUCCGCGCUGGUUUAGCUAGUUGGUAAGGUAACGGCUUACCAAGGCAACGAUGCAUAGCCGACCUGCGAGGGUGAUCGGCCACACUGGAACUGAGACACGGUCCAGACUCCUACGGGAGGCAGCAGUAGGGAAUCUUCCGCAAUGGGCGAAAGCCUGACGGAGCAACGCCGCGUGAGUGAUGAAGGUCUUCGGAUCUUAAAACUCUGUUAUUAGGGAAGAACAUAUGUGUAAGUAACUGUGCACAUCUUGACGGUACCUAAUCAGAAAGCCACGGCUAACUACGUG